rnacentral:rRNA from 1 species
AAUAUUGGACAAUGGGGGCAACCCUGAUCCAGCCAUGCCGCGUGUGUGAAGAAGGUCUUCGGAUUGUAAAGCACUUUAAGUUGGGAGGAAGGGCUUUAGGUUAAUACCCUGAAGUUUUGACGUUACCAAUAGAAUAAGCACCGGAUAACUCUGUGCCAGCAUCCGCGGUAAUACAGAGGGUGCAGGCGUUAAUCGUAAUUACUGGGCGUAAAGCGCGGGUAGGUGGUUCAGUAAGAUGGGUGUGAAAUCCCCGGGCUUAAACUGGGAACUGCUUUCAUAACUGCUGAGCUAGAGUACGGUAGAAGGUAGUGGAAUUUCCUGUGUAGCGGUGAAAUGCGUAGAUAUAGGAAGGAACACCAGUGGCGAAGGCGACUACCUGGACUGAUACUGACACUGAGGUGCGAAAGCGUGGGGAGCAAAC